rnacentral:rRNA from 1 species
UACGUAGGGUGCAAGCGUUAAUCGGAAUUACUGGGCGUAAAGCGUGCGCAGGCGGUUUUGUAAGUCUGUCGUGAAAUCCCCGGGCUCAACCUGGGAAUUGCGAUGGAGACUGCAAGGCUAGAAUCUGGCAGAGGGGGGGUAGAAUUCCACGUGUAGCAGUGAAAUGCGUAGAGAUGUGGAGGAACACCGAUGGCGAAGGCAGCCCCCUGGGCUGAGAUUGACGCUCAGGCACGAAAGCGUGGGGAGCAAACAGGG